rnacentral:lncRNA from 1 species
GCAAGACCCGGUCUCAAAAAAAAAAAUUGCCUCAGUUGGCUGGGCGCUGUGGCUCAUGCCAGUAAUCCCAUCGCUGUGGGAGGAGCCUUUGAGGCCAGGAGUUUGAGACCAGCCUGGGCAACUUAGUGAAACUCUGUCUCUACAAAAAAUUUUAAAAAUUAGCCGGCCAUGCUGGUCCAUGCCUGUAGUUCCAGUUAUUUGGGAGACUAAAGUGGGAAAAUUGGUUGAGCACAGGAAGUUGAGGCUGCAGUGAGCUAGGAUUGCACCACUGCACUCUAACCUGGGCAAGAAUGAAACCCUGUCACACAAAAAAAGAAAAGUGGGGGGAGGGUGUGAAAUAAACCUGUGUUUUGUUUUGUUUUGUUUUCCUUUUAGAUUGAAUAAGAAGGUUUUGUUUCGUUGUUUGGCAUGGAGGGGGUGCGUGUUUGUCCUUAUCCUCCUUCCCAUGGUGAGGCACUGAUGCAGAGUGUGUGUGGCGUCUCCCCUAGCCCCUUGGCUGGCAGAGAGCCUCACGUCCCACCUACUUUUUCUUGCCUCACAGUCACAAGAGCAUCAAACCACAGCAACAGCAGAUGGAACAAGGCUUCUAUUCCGAGUCAACAGAAUCAACGGGCCAGCUACAAGUGGGAGGCAAGUGGUACGCACUGCAGUUUCACCCUACUAGGUGAUGUUGUGGCAACACCCACAGAACAAAAGUUUCACCUUUUUCAUGUAUUUUUACUUCUCAGGAGGCCUUAGUGCUACAGUCUUUUAAUUAGAGAACUGUUUUCCCCUCCUUGACUCUGCACACAUGUUUUCUAUAUAAUAUUAAACAGUAACCUGUGAGUCUCCCACAUCCUGGUAUGCUCUGGAUCACAGACCACAUUUUUAAAACACACACACACACGCACCACGACCAAAAUCUGUACCGGCUGACUGCUGGCAAAGUAAAAAACCGCGUUAAAUUUGGCUUGCUUGCUUGCUUUUUCUUUCUUCUUUCUUCCUUUUUAACAGCUUGAUUGAGA